rnacentral:rRNA from 1 species
ACUCAAAUGAAUAGACGGGGGCCCGCACAAGCGGUGGAACAUGUGGUUUAAUUCGAUGCAACGCGAAGAACCUUACCUGGGCUUGACAUCUAGCGAAUCUCCAUGAAAGUGGAGAGUGCCUUCGGGAACGCUAAGACAGGUGGUGCACGGUUGUCGUCAGCUCGUGUCGUGAGAUGUUGGGUUAAGUCCCGCAACGAGCGCAACCCUCGUUGUCUGUUGCUACAGGUCGUAAGAUGCUGAGCACUCAGACGAGACUGCCGGUGAUAAACCGGAGGAAGGUGGGGAUGACGUCAAAUCAUCACGCCCCUUAUGUCCAGGGCUACACACGUGUUACAAUGGGUAAGAGACAAUGGGCAGCUUGGCAGCAAUGUCCGGCAAAUCCCCUAAACUCUCCCUCAGUUCGGAUUGGAGUCUGCAACUCGACUCCAUGAAGUCGGAAUCGCUAGUAAACGCAGAUCAGAACGCUGCGUUGAAUACGUUCCCGGGCCUUGCACACACCGCCCGU